rnacentral:lncRNA from 1 species
GUCUGUGCCAAUCUUCCUCCACUGUAUGUGUGUCGCCGCCACAGCGUGACUUGAUGAGUGGUGUGUAGGUCUGUGCCUGGGAUUGGAACCCAGGAACUCGAGCUGUGGAAGUGAGCUUGUGCCACAAGGCUGGCCCCAAGAAUCUGCAUUCUAACAGGCUCCCCAGAGGAUUCACGUUCAUGUUAGAGUCUGAGAAGCGCUGAAGACAUCCUCAGAUGCUUUUGGAACAGAUGUCGGAAGUGCGCGAGACAGGGCCUGGGAAGAUUCCCCUUCCUGCCCUGAUUUCUCUACAGGAAAACUGACCUCUGUGGCAGCCCUGCCCAGGCCUGACCCCAGCCCUGCAAACCGACCCUGGCUGCAGUUUUGGCGCUCAGUUCUUCUCUCUGGCAGGGACCCUCAGGGACAUUGUCGUCUUCCCACUCUCCUUUGGUGCUGCUCUCUGCCUUGAUUCAGGAAAGCCUGAGCCAUUCCGGAAAAUUCAUCCAAACUGCUGCCCGAGGUCCGGACCCUUAGCCAACACCUGAGGUUCUUUGCACGCACCUCCGGACAAAGCCUGAGAUUCUCCCGCUGGAUCCCGAAGGCGACAAAGCCCAGACUGUCCUGUGAGCAGCCAGCUCUGACUGGAAUUCAGGUCUCGCCGGGCACGUCAGGAACAGGGCACAUCUGGAAAAGCGUUUGCCGAGGCUGUUGCUCCAGCAGGCCCAGACGGUGACCAGGCCUGAGUGGCCUCAAGCCCCGCCCAGGGCUCAGGAGCCAGGGUGGGGGACAGUCUCCCCUUAUUUAGCCUGGCUCAGGCCUGUGGGCUCUGGAGGCUGAGCCCGUGCCACUGUCCAUGGGAGGGACAUGGACCCGCCAAGUCAGGCCACACUGGAGGAGGAGCCGGGGUGGAGGCAGCGCCAUCUCAGAGCCCAAACUCCCAGACUAGUGGGCCCGCAGGGGUGACUCUAGCCCCUCCCAGCUUUUAGCCCGGUGCGUCCUCCCCCAUCUCCUCC